CUCUCUCUCUCUCUCUCUCCGUGUCUUCACCAGCAGCCGGUUCGUUACUGCGCUGCAACUGCAAACAGAAGAGCAGUACAACUUCGAUGCGAGCUAAAACCGGGGUUGUAGGAGUUGAGUUGCUUGCAGGAAAAUGCAUCUUCCUUUGACAUUGCAUAGGCAUCUAACAUGUGCUAAAGUGAGUUUUCUUUUCUGCCUUUUCUUUUCCCGUUAUGGUUCAAUUUUGUGUAGGAUUUGUUGAUGCUAGUGGGAAACUCAGAUUUUCUCUUGCAUUUCACCUUCGAUGGAUCACUUAUAACUUUCUGAAUUUGUUGGGGGCAUAAUGCUUGUUAGAUUAAAGGGCCAAUGUAAUGCUAGUAACUUUGUGCGAAAGAUCAAGUUAAUAUAUAUAUUUUCCUCAAAACUUAAUUAUAAGGAGAAACAUCGCCAUGGGAGUGUAAAUAAGCUGAGCUGCUUGAGACUUUUGGAUAAAAGCUACGGUUGGCUCUGGGCUUAAUGAGAAGUGCUUGAGCCUAAUUUUUAGAUUUGUUUAAUAAACACGCCAAACUUGAUCUUACUAAUACUCGAUUAAUUUAGAUUUACAAGUUGGCUCAUUUAUAAGAUCAUGAGUCGGCUUGUAAGCUUGUAAAUUUGUUUGUUUAUAGGUUUGUGAGCCAACUCAUUCAUAUAUUUGUUU
rnacentral:misc_RNA from 1 species